CACUACCAUAGUGCCAAGCAAGGUUGGAGGAGGCCGGGGAGUCAUGGAAUUGUUUCUGGCCUCCUAGUUCUUACGAUCAUAACCGCCUCCAGAAGGCAGUCGCGCACCACCUUCCUCCAGGUGCAGCGUGGGACGUGCAUGGUGACGUGAGGGUCUUGGUUAGCUGUGGCCAAACUCACGCUACCUGCAGGAGCCAGCUGGAAGAGUCCAGACCACUAGGGGCCCGCCGCAACACUUUUUUGAAGGUGCAGACCUUUAGAGUUAAACUGAACAGCAAUGAAACAUUUUAGAAAUUAAAAUACAAAUAUUUCAAAAACUGCUGUUUGACUGCCCAUUUAGUCUGAAAUUAAACUGGCACUUACUAUGCUUCAAGGUGUGGACACUGAUGACGAGGCACCACCCCCCCCCCCCCCCCCCCCCCAAGGAAAACAGAACGACAAUCUGUAGAUGAAGGGGCCAGGUAGGUAAAAAUAUGUUGUAUGUGUUUACUGGUUAAUGCCAGUACAAAUGGUACUUUGAA
rnacentral:lncRNA from 1 species